rnacentral:lncRNA from 13 species
CAUUUAGGUCGGGAGAAAGCGGCGGUGAGUGUUCAUUGUUUUGUUCUGCACGUUGCGUACAUUUUGAACUGGGAUUUGAGCAUUUCAUCACCGCGGAGCACCUCAGUAAAUUAUCUGGCUACAUUGUAACUGCUGCGUCUUUUAUAAAAUAAUUCUUCCUGAGACGACGCGUGGCUUGAUGGACUAGUUUGGACCAUACAAUUGUGUUAAUAUCUGCAUUUCACGACCGCUGCUGUAGCCUACAGAAAUACAUAACUGUCAGCAAUUCUACAACAUACGGAAGUAUUACAAAUACGAGCAGUGCAGGCUACGGUAGGAGUCGUGUUUUGGCCAGCCAUGCCUGUUGCCGUGGCAGCAGCAGCAAGACAGGAAGUGUGUGUGUGAGUACGCCCA